GACGAACGCUGGCGGCGUGCCUAAUACAUGCAAGUCGAACGCAUUUUCUUUCACCGUAGCUUGCUACACCGAAAGAAAAUGAGUGGCGAACGGGUGAGUAACACGUGGGUAACCUGCCCAUCAGCGGGGGAUAACACUUGGAAACAGGUGCUAAUACCGCAUAAUUCCAUUUACCGCAUGGUAAAUGGAUGAAAGGCGCUUUUGCGUCACUGAUGGAUGGACCCGCGGUGCAUUAGCUAGUUGGUGGGGUAACGGCCUACCAAGGCUGCGAUGCAUAGCCGACCUGAGAGGGUGAUCGGCCACCCUGGGACUGAGACACGGCCCAGACUCCUACGGGAGGCAGCAGUAGGGUAUCUUCGGCAAUGGACGCAAGUCUGACCGAGCAACGCCGCGUGAGUGAAGAAGGUUUUCGGAUCGUAAAACUCUGUUGUUAGAGAAGAACAAGGAUGAGAGUGGAAAGUUCAUCCCUUGACGGUAUCUAACCAGAAAGCCACGGCUAACUACGUG
rnacentral:rRNA from 1 species